rnacentral:lncRNA from 1 species
AUGGCCAGGAAUAGAUCUAUGAUCAGUGGAAAUUUCGCUGACUGUACUUGUUCCCAGCGGAAAAGAAUUGGUUUCCCCAAAACAUAUGCAAAAAUGCCCCGAGACCAGUGUGAACCUAUAGUCUCUGGAAGACCAAAUUUAAGGACUCCCAAGAUGCGUUCUACAGAGGGGUGUAACCCAAUUUUAUUCUCACCCCCCUGUUCUUCUCAAAUGUCUUCAGGAAGCAGUUUCAAAUGUAGGAGAAGGAGCACAAAGAAAAGUAAUUCAAAGAUUCUAAACUCCGCUUUGGACCGUGCCCUACAGACUGCAGUCGGCUUAAAAAAGACGACGGAACGGAUGAUUCGAGAAGUGGCAGAGGAUCUGGAUAAAUUUCAGAAUCAGAAAAGUCAGGAACAAUUUUAGCCCCUGCACGGUCUGAUCUGAGCUCUGCUGAGUAAUUUUGAUGGACCAAAUGCCUGUCUAGUGCUCCUCACACAGUCCGCUAAUGAAGGUGUCUCCGACUUGCCUAAACCAGGAACUGAAGGAGGGGCAGAUCGAUGGCCAGCCCGCCCCAGGGGACCUACUGCAGCACAAUUAGAGGGCUUAGCCAUGCCUGCACUCAUCCAGGAAGAAAAUAUUUUAGCUUACCUGUGGUUUGCUGAACAGACGAUGCUUUGUGAGAAGUAGUGUGGUCUAGUGGAAAGAGCACAGGCUUGAGAGCCAGAAGACCUGGGUUCUAGUCCUGAUCUGCCACUUACCUGCUGUGUGAUUAUGGGUCACAACUUUUCUGUUCUUCAAUUCCCUCCAUCUCCAAAAUGGGGAUUCAGUGCCUGUUCUCCCUCCUAUUUAGACCAAGUCCCAUGUGGGAUCUGAUUAUCUUCUGUCUCAGAGCUUGGCACGUAGUAAGCGCUUAACUGAUACCAUGAUUAUUAUUAUUGUUAGUAUUAUUAUCAAGGUAUUUGGAAAAGAAUUUAAGAAAUCUACAUCUCCAGCCAUGAUGUCUCUCCCUCUCUGCUGUCUUGCAUUUCCUCCUGCCUUAAAGUCAUGUCUACUUGGAUGUCUUGCCAUCGCCUCAAACUUAACAUGUCCAAAAUGGAACUCCGUAUCUUCCCUCCCAAACGCUGUCCUCCCCGUCUUUCCUAUCACUGUAGACGACACCACUAUCCUUCCUGUCUCACAAGCUCAUAACCCUGGCAUUAUCCCUGACUCUUCUCUCUCAUUCAACCCACCUAUUCAAUCUAUCACUAAAUCCUGUCCGUUCAACCUUCACCUAAAAUCUACCCUUUCCUCUCCAUCCAAACUAUUACCACGUUAAUCCAAGCACCUAUUUAUCCUAUCCCAUCGUGAUUACUAUAUUCAUUCUUUCAUUUAUUCAAUCAUAUUUAUUGAGCUCUGUGUUCUGAGUACUGUAGUAAGCACUUGAGAAGCAGCGUGGCUCAGUGGAAAGAGCACUGGCUUGGGAGUCAGAGGUCAUGGGUUCGAAACUCCGCUCUGCCACUUGUUAGCUGUGUGACUGUGGGCAAGUCACUUAAUUUCUCUGUGCCUCAGUUACCUCAUCUGUAAAAUGGGGAUUAACUGUGAGCCCCAUGGGGGACAACCUGAUUACCCUAUAUAUCUACCCCCAGUGCUUAGAAUAGUGCUCUGCACAUAGUAAACGCUUAACAAAUACCAACAUUAUUACAAUAUAAUAGACACAUUCCCUGACCACAAGGAGCUUACAGUCUAGAAUGGGGUGGGGAGAGAGACAUUAAUAUUAAAAAAAUACAAAUAUGUAUAUAAGUGCUGUGGGGCUAGGAGGGGGAUGAACAUAGGGUGCAAGGGUGAUGCAGAAGGCAGUGGGAGAAGAGGAAAGGGGUGCUUAGGAAGGCCUCCUGGAAGAGAUGUGCCUUCAGUAAGGCUUUGAAGGUGGGGACAGUAAUUGUCAGAUUUGAGGAGGGAGUUCCAGGCCAGAGGCAGGACGUGGGCAAGGGAUCGGCAGUGAGAUAGACGAGAUGGAGGCACAGUGAGAAAGUUAGCAUUAAAGGAGCGAAAGUGCAGGCUGGGUUGUAGUAGAAGAGUAGGAGGGGGCAAGGUGAUUGGGUGCUUUAAAGCCAUUGGUGAGAAGUUUUUGUUUGAUGGACAAUCACUGGAGUUUUUUGAGGAGUGGGGAACACGUCCUGAAUGUUUUUGAAGAAAAAUGAUUUGGGCAGCAGAGUGAAGUAUGGAGAGCCAGGAGGCUGCUGCAGUAGGAUGAGUGAUUGUAUUAAUGCGGUAGCAGUUUGGAUGGAGGGGAAAAGGCAGAUUUUAGCAAUGUUGUGAAGGUGGAGCGACAGGAUUUAGUGAUGGAUUGAAUAUGUGAGUUGAAUGACAGAGAGGAGUCAAAGAUAACGCCCACGUAAUGGACUUGUGAGACCGGAAGGAUGGUGGUGCCGUCUACAGUGAUGGAAAAGUCAAGGGGAGGACUUUGGGUGGAAAGGUACGGAGUUCUGUUUUGGACAUGUUAAACUUGAGGUGAUGGGAGGACAUCCAAAUAGAGAUGUCUUGAAGGGAGGAGGAAAUGCGAGACUGCAGAGAGGGAGAGAGAUCAAGGCUGGAGAUGUAGAUUUGGGUGUCUUCCACACACUGGUGGUAGUUGAAGCCAUGGGAGCAAAUGAGUUCUCCAAGGGAGUGGGUGUAGCUGGAGAAUAGAAGGGGACCCAAAUUGAACCUUGAGGGACCCCCACAGUUAGGGGGUGGGAGGCAGAGGAGGGGCCUACAAAGAAGACUGAGAUGAACGGCCAGAGAGAAGAGAACCAGGAGAGGACAGUGUCAGUCAAGCCAAGUGUGGAUAAUGUUUCCCGGGGAAGGGGGUGGUUGACAGUGUCAAAGGCAGCUGAGAGGUCAAGGAGGAUUAGGAGGGAGUAGAGGCUGCUCCUUAUCACCUUGCCUCCUGUCUCUCCCCAUUCCAGUCCACACUUCACUAUGCUACCUGAUUCAUUUUUCUUCAGAAACCUUCAGUCCAUAUUUCCCCACUUCUCAAGAACCUCCAGUAGUUGCCCAUCCAUCUCGACAUGAAAUAGAAACUCCUUACCAUCGACUUUAAAGCACUCUAUCACCUCAUCUCGCUGUUCUCCUCUUAUAUCCCAGUCUACACACCCUCAAUCUCAUCUAUCUCGCUGCUCAUCUCUCAUCCACAUUCUGCCUCUGGCCUGGAAUGCCCUCCCUUUUCUUAUUCAACAGACAAUUACUCUCCCCACUUUCAAAGCCUUACUGAAGGCAUAUCUCCAAGAAGCCUUCCCUAAGCCCCUC